UACGUAGGGUGCGAGCGUUAAUCGGAAUUACUGGGCGUAAAGCGUGCGCAGGCGGUUCGUCGUGUCUGAUGUGAAAGCCCCGGGCUCAACCUGGGAAUGGCAUUGGAAACUGGCGGACUAGAGUGUGGCAGAGGGGGGUGGAAUUCCGCGUGUAGCAGUGAGAUGCGUAGAGAUGCGGAGGAACACCGAUGGCGAAGGCAGCCCCCUGGGCUAACACUGACGCUCAGGCACGAAAGCGUGGGGAGCAAACAGG
rnacentral:rRNA from 1 species